rnacentral:rRNA from 1 species
CCCCUAGAUGUUCUGGGCCGCACGCGCGCUACACUGAACAGUUCAACAAGUCUUAACCUUGGCCGAUAGGUCUGGGUAAUCUUUGAACGCUGUUCGUGAUUGGGAUAGACCUUUGCAAUUAUGCGUCUUCAACGAGGAAUUCCUAGUAAACGCAAGUCAUCAGCUUGCAUUGAUUACGUCCCUGCCCUUUGUACACACCGCCCGUCGCACCUACCGAUUGAAUGGUCCGGUGAAAUCUCGGGACGGCGGCUUGGUCGCUUGCGUCCGACUGCUGAAACUUGAUUAAACCAUAUCAUUUAGAGGAAGGUGAAGUCGUAACA